rnacentral:sRNA from 1 species
CACUUUGUUUAUAUUUCAUUAUCUCAGAAUUUACUUCGAUGUGCUUGGUCACCUGAUGGUAGUCGUGUGGCUGCUGGUUCGGGAGAUAGGUUUGUUUAUGUUUGGGACACCACCUCACGCAGAGUAGUUUACAAGUUGCCUGGGCAUGCUGGAUCUGUCAAUGAAGUGGACUUUCACCCUACAGAACCAAUCAUUUCAUCUUGUUCCAGUGAUAAGAAGAUUUACCUUGGCGAGUUAGAAUAAGUUGGAACUGUUAGAUUUUGUUGAUGUCAUACCAUUUUUUUGUAAAUAGAUUAAAUCACACACAACAUGCA